AAGAGAGGAAGAGUGGUACUGGGAAGAGAGGAAGAGUGGUACUGGGAAGAGAAGAAGAGUGGUACUGGAAAGAGAGGAAGAGUGGUACUGGAAAGAGUGGUACUGGAAAGAGAAGAAGAGUGGUACUGGAAAGAGUGGUACUGGGAAGAGAAGAAGAGUGGUACUGGAAAGAGAGGAAGAAGGAAGAGUGGUACUGGAAAGAGUGGAAGAGUGGUACUGGGAAGAGUGGUACUGGAAAGAGAGGAAGAGUGGUACUGGAAAGAGAGGAAGAGUGGUACUGGAAAGAGAGGAAGAGUGGUACUGGAAAGAGAGGAAGAGUGGUACUGGAAAGAGAGGAAGAGUGGUACUGGGAAGAGAGGAAGAGUGGUACUGGAAAGAGAAGAAGAGUGGUACUGGAAAGAGAGGAAGAGUGGUACUGGGAAGAGUGGUACUGGUAAGAGAGGAAGAGUGGUACUGGGAAGAGUGGUACUGGUAAGAGAGGAAGAGUGGUCUGGGAAGAGUGGUACUGGUAAGAGAGGAAGAGUGGUACUGGAAAGAGAGGAAGAGUGGUACUGGAAAGAGAGGAAGAGUGGUACUGGGAAGAGAAGAAGAGUGGUACUGGAAAGAGAGGAAGAGUGGUACUGGAAAGAGUGGUACUGGUAAGAGAGGAAGAGUGGUACUGGGAAGAGAAGAAGAGUGGUACUGGAAAGAGUGGUACUGGUAAGAGAGGAAGAGUGGUACUGGGAAGAGAGGAAGAGUGGUACUGGAAAGAGAAGAAGAGUGGUACUGGGAAGAGAGGAAGAGUGGUACUGGAAAGAGAAGAAGAGUGGUACUGGGAAGAGAAGAAGAGUGGUACUGGGAAGAGAAGAAGAGUGGUACUGGAAAGAGAAGAAGAGUGGUACUGGAAAGAGUGGUACUGGGAAGAGAAGAAGAGUGGUACUGGGAAGAGAGGAAGAGUGGUACUGGAAAGAGUGGUACUGGGAAGAGAAGAAGAGUGGUACUGGAAAGAGAAGAAGAGUGGUACUGGGAAGAGAAGAAGAGUGGUACUGGGAAGAGAAGAAGAGUGGUACUGGAAAGAGUGGUACUGGGAAGAGAAGAAGAGUGGUACUGGGAAGAGAGGAAGAGUGGUACUGGAAAGAGUGGUACUGGGAAGAGAAGAAGAGUGGUACUGGAAAGAGAAGAAGAGUGGUACUGGAAAGAGAGGAAGAGUGGUACUGGAAAGAGAGGAAGAGUGGUACUGGGAAGAGAGGAAGAGUGGUACUGGGAAGAGAGGAAGAGUGGUACUGGGAAGAGAAGAAGAGUGGUACUGGGAAGAGAAGAAGAGUGGUACUGGGAAGAGAAGAAGAGUGGUACUGGGAAGAGAGGAAGAGUGGUACUGGAAAGAGAGGAAGAGUGGUACUGGGAAGAGAGGAAGAGUGGUACUGGAAAGAGAGGAAGAGUGGUACUGGAAAGAGGAAGAGUGGUACUGGAAAGAGAGGAAGAGUGGUACUGGAAAGAGAGGAAGAGUGGUACUGGGAAGAGAGGAAGAGUGGUACUGGGAAGAGUGGUACUGGGAAGAGAAGAAGAGUGGUACUGGAAAGAGAGGAAGAGUGGUACUGGGAAGAGAAGAAGAGUGGUACUGGAAAGAGAGGAAGAGUGGUACUGGGAAGAGAAGAAGAGUGGUACUGGGAAGAGAGGAAGAGUGGUACUGGAAAGAGAGGAAGAGUGGUACUGGGAAGAGAAGAAGAGUGGUACUGGAAAGAGAAGAAGAGUGGUACUGGAAAGAGAGGAAGAGUGGUACUGGGAAGAGAAGAAGAGUGGUACUGGAAAGAGUGGAAGAGUGGUACUGGAAAGAGAAGAAGAGUGGUACUGGAAAGAGAGGAAGAGUGGUACUGGAAAGAGAGGAAGAGUGGUACUGGAAAGAGAGGAAGAGUGGUACUGGAAAGAGAGGAAGAGUGGUACUGGGAAGAGAAGAAGAGUGGUACUGGGAAGAGAAGAAGAGUGGUACUGGAAAGAGAAGAAGAGUGGUACUGGAAAGAGAGGAAGAGUGGUACUGGGAAGAGAAGAAGAGUGGUACUGGGAAGAGUGGUACUGGGAAGAGAAGAAGAGUGGUACUGGAAAGAGUGGUACUGGGAAGAGAGGAAGAGUGGUACUGGAAAGAGAGGAAGAGUGGUACUGGGAAGAGAAGAAGAGUGGUACUGGGAAGAGUGGUACUGGGAAGAGAAGAAGAGUGGUACUGGAAAGAGAGGAAGAGUGGUACUGGAAAGAGAAGAAGAGUGGUACUGGAAAGAGUGGAAGAGUGGUACUGGAAAGAGAGGAAGAGUGGUACUGGGAAGAGAGGAAGAGUGGUACUGGAAAGAGAAGAAGAGUGGUACUGGGAAGAGAAGAAGAGUGGUACUGGAAAGAGUGGUACUGGGAAGAGAGGAAGAGUGGUACUGGGAAGAGAAGAAGAGUGGUACUGGGAAGAGAAGAAGAGUGGUACUGGGAAGAGAGGAAGAGUGGUACUGGGAAGAGAGGAAGAGUGGUACUGGGAAGAGAGGAAGAGUGGUACUGGGAAGAGUGGUACUGGGAAGAGAGGAAGAGUGGUACUGGGAAGAGAGGAAGAGUGGUACUGGAAAGAGAGGAAGAGUGGUACUGGGAAGAGUGGUACUGGGAAGAGAGGAAGAGUGGUACUGGAAAGAGAAGAAGAGUGGUACUGGGAAGAGAAGAAGAGUGGUACUGGAAAGAGAGGAAGAGUGGUACUGGAAAGAGAAGAAGAGUGGUACUGGAAAGAGAAGAAGAGUGGUACUGGAAAGAGAGGAAGAGUGGUACUGGAAAGAGAGGAAGAGUGGUACUGGAAAGAGAAGAAGAGUGGUACUGGAAAGAGAAGAAGAGUGGUACUGGAAAGAGAAGAAGAGUGGUACUGGAAAGAGAGAGAGUGGUACUGGGAAGAGAGGAAGA
ensembl:lncRNA